rnacentral:rRNA from 1 species
CGUACGGGUGCGGAACACGUUGUGCAACCUGCCUUUAUCAGGGGGAUAGCCUUUCGAAAGGAAGAUUAAUACCCCAUAAUAUAUUGAAUGGCAUCAUUUAAUAUUGAAAACUCCGGUGGAUAGAGAUGGGCACGCGCAAGAUUAGAUAGUUGGUGAGGUAACGGCUCACCAAGUCUACGAUCUUUAGGGGGCCUGAGAGGGUGAUCCCCCACACUGGUACUGAGACACGGACCAGACUCCUACGGGAGGCAGCAGUGAGGAAUAUUGGACAAUGGGUGCGAGCCUGAUCCAGCCAUCCCGCGUGAAGGACGACGGCCCUAUGGGUUGUAAACUUCUUUUGUGUAGGGAUAAACCUAGAUACGUGUAUCUAGCUGAAGGUACUAUACGAAUAAGCACCGGCUAACUCCGUGCCAGCAGCCGCGGUAAUACGGAGGGUGCAAGCGUUAUCCGGAUUUAUUGGGUUUAAAGGGUCCGUAGGCGGAUUUGUAAGUCAGUGGUGAAAUCUCACAGCUUAACUGUGAAACUGCCAUUGAUACUGCAAGUCUUGAGUGUUGUUGAAGUAGCUGGAAUAAGUAGUGUAGCGGUGAAAUGCAUAGAUAUUACUUAGAACACCAAUUGCGAAGGCAGGUUACUAAGCAACAACUGACGCUGAUGGACGAAAGCGUGGGGAGCGAACAGGAUUAGAUACCCUGGUAGUCCACGCCGUAAACGAUGCUAACUCGUUUUUGGAGCGCAAGCUUCAGAGACUAAGCGAAAGUGAUAAGUUAGCCACCUGGGGAGUACGAACGCAAGUUUGAAACUCAAAGGAAUUGACGGGGCCCGCACAAGCGGUGGAUUAUGUGGUUUAAUUCGAUGAUACGCGAGGAACCUUACCAAGGCUUAAAUGGGAAAUGACAGGUUUAGAAAUAGACUUUUCUUCGGACAUUUUUCAAGGUGCUGCAUGGUUGUCGUCAGCUCGUGCCGUGAGGUGUUAGGUUAAGUCCUGCAACGAGCGCAACCCCUGUCACUAGUUGCCAUCAUUAAGUUGGGGACUCUAGUGAGACUGCCUACGCAAGUAGAGAGGAAGGUGGGGAUGACGUCAAAUCAUCACGGCCCUUACGCCUUGGGCCACACACGUAAUACAAUGGCCGGUACAGAGGGCAGCUACACUGCGAAGUGAUGCAAAUCUCGAAAGCCGGUCUCAGUUCGGAUUGGAGUCUGCAACUCGACUCUAUGAAGCUGGAAUCGCUAGUAAUCGCGCAUCAGCCAUGGCGCGGUGAAUACGUUCCCGGGCCUUGUACACACCGCCCGUCAAGCCAUGGAAGUCUGGGGUACCUGAAGUCGGUGACCGUAACAGAGC